AGCUAUUAUCCUUCUUUUUCUUUACCUAACUAGUGUUGCCUGGUUUUCGUCGUUAUUUGAUCGGGUCAUGUUCUCCCUAUGGUGCAACUUACAUAUCGAGAUUUCACAUGGACGCUAUGUGUUCGCCAGCUAUGCCUUCUAAUGUACCUGUGCUGUGCACUUCUUCAUUGUGUCAUUUCUUAGUAUUUGACUUUAGCAUUGGCAAAAAUGUAAAUGAAGAAUGAAAAAAUG